rnacentral:rRNA from 1 species
CUUGGUCAUUUAGAGGAAGUAAAAGUCGUAACAAGGUUUCCGUAGGUGAACCUGCGGAAGGAUCAUUACAGCGUCUUUUUUAGGUAGGGUGUAAAAACUCUAUCUAAUUAAAACACCACCCUUUGUUUAUAUUACUUUUGUUGCUUUGGCAGGCCCGUCUUCGGGCUGCUGGCUUUAGCUGGCAAGUGUCUGCCAGAGGACCUAAAACACUUUUAAUAAUAUUGUCUGAGUACUAUAUAAUAGUUAAAACUUUCAACAACGGAUCUCUUGGUUCUGGCAUCGAUGAAGAACGCAGCGAAAUGCGAUAAGUAAUGUGAAUUGCAGAAUUCAGUGAAUCAUCGAAUCUUUGAACGCACAUUGCGCCCUCUGGUAUUCCGGGGGGCAUGCCUGUUCGAGCGUCAUUACAACCCUCAAGCUCUGCUUGGUAUUAGGCCUCACAUGCUAAGGCGGGCCUUAAAAUCAGUGGCGGUGCCAUCUGGCUUCAAGCGUAGUAACUUUCUCGCUCAGGAGUACUAGGUGUUUACCUGCCAACAACCCCAANUUUUUACAGGUUGACCUCGGAUCAGGUAGGGAUACCCGCUGAACUUAAGCAUAUCAAUAAGCGGAGGAAAAGAAACCAACAGGGAUUACCUCAGUAACGGCGAGUGAAGCGGUAACAGCUCAAAUUUGAAAUCUGGCCUUUUAGGUCCGAGUUGUAAUUUGUAGAGGAUGUUUCGAACGUGGUCCGGUCUAAGUUCCUUGGAACAGGACGUCAUAGAGGGUGAGAAUCCCGUAUGCGACUGGGUGCCUAAGUUCAUGUGAAACUCCUUCGACGAGUCGAGUUGUUUGGGAAUGCAGCUCAAAAUGGGUGGUAAAUUUCAUCUAAAGCUAAAUAUUGGCCAGAGACCGAUAGCGCACAAGUAGAGUGAUCGAAAGAUGAAAAGCACUUUGGAAAGAGAGUUAAACAGUACGUGAAAUUGUUGAAAGGGAAGCGCUUGCAACCAGACUUGCAUGCAGUUGAUCAUCCGAUGUUCUCACCGGUGCACUCGAUUGUAUUCAGGCCAGCAUCGGUUUAGGUGGUUGGAAAAAAGCCCUAGGAAUGUAGCUUCUCUCGGGGAGUGUUAUAGCCUGAGGUAUAAUGCAGCCUACCUGGACCGAGGACCGCGCUUCGGCUAGGAUGCUGGCGUAAUGGUUGUAAGCGACCCGUCUUGAAACACGGACC